AUUGAACGCUGGCGGCAGGCUUAACACAUGCAAGUCGAGCGGGGUGAUGGUGCUUGCACUAUCACUUAGCGGCGGACGGGUGCGUAAUGCUUAGGAAUCUGCCUAUUAGUGGGGGACGACAUCUCGAAAGGGAUGCUAAUACCGCAUACGUCCUACGGGAGAAAGCAGGGGAUCACUUGUGACCUCGCGCUAAUAGAUGAGCCUAAGUCGGAUUAGCUAGUUGGUGGGGUAAAGGCCUACCAAGGCGACGAUCUGUAGCGGGUCUGAGAGGAUGAUCCGCCACACUGGGACUGAGACACGGCCCAGACUCCUACGGGAGGCAGCAGUGGGGAAUAUUGGACAAUGGGGGGAACCCUGAUCCAGCCAUGCCGCGUGUGUGAAGAAGGCCUUAUGGUUGUAAAGCACUUUAAGCGAGGAGGAGGCUCUUUUGGUUAAUACCCAAGAUGAGUGGACGUUACUCGCAGAAUAAGCACCGGCUAACUCUGUGCCAGCCGCCGCCGUAA
rnacentral:rRNA from 1 species